CAGCAGGAAAUCCCUGCAGCCUGCUCUGUGUCGUGAGAACGACUUCCACCUUAUUAGGUACAAAAUUAUUUAUGUCACAACUGAAAGUAAAACAGGACGGAGGAGGGGGUGGAGCAUUUGCUGGUGUCACUGGUGCGAACCUUGUCCUGGCUUCUGUGCCGUGUCGGCUUGCUGCUCUGCACCCCGAGACUUGCCCCAAAAUGUAGUUUUCUGACCCAGAUGCUGUGCUUCUCUUCUGAGUAAUGGUCCAGCAGGCAGAAUGCUGGGGAUGGCAGAAAACUCUGCUGGAGCGCUGAGCAGGCUGCAGAGCCAGAAAACACACCUGAAGAGUAUUUGUCUGCAGUAUCUGCUUCUGAACAGCCACUGCUUUUGCCUUUUAAAGAAUGGAAUGGGACUAAUCAUCUUCUUCCUAUGUGCUUAUGUUCCAAAGACAGAAGCAGGACGCUGCAAGUGGGAAGAAGUUCUGCAGGAUUUGCAAGCCAUCAAGACAUCCAAAGACAUUGAUGUCAGUUUAUACACUGCCAACGCAGAUGAGGAUGAAGAAUGCCAGGAACUUGUAAUGAGGUGCUUUUUCUUAGAGACAGAAGUGAUAUUUCAAGAAUGUCGUAUCAAAAAUUGUAGUAAAACACAGGAUGUGUGGAACAUUUGGAAAAAUGGGAAUGACAGCUUCGAAAAAAAUAAGUUGGCUUCCACAAAAUCAGAAAAAUGCAAAGAAUGUGAAGAAUAUGAAGAAAAAAAUUUUACCGAAUUUGUACAAAAUUUUGAAAAGGUUAUACAAAGGGAUUGCAAACACUGGUCAAAAAGACAUAAGCUGGACAAUGCAAGAUGAUGUCUGACAUCCUCUUCCUUCUUGCUGUUUUACUGGACCCUGAAGAUAAAUAUGAGUUGUUUAUCCAUAGAAUAUUGCCUCUAGUGGCUCCCAAAUGUUUGAGCACCUGUUGAUCAGUGCGACUCAAUACUCCUCGGGGCUUUUCGCUUCACUACAUACAGAACUGCUUCUGAUGAACUGCUUUUACAAUUUUUACUAAAGGAAAACAAAGAAAUGCAACUAAAACUUCUAUGUCAAGAUACUUUCUUGAAAUCAAAUUAUAAAAUACAUUGACAGUGCUGCUGAAAGAGCCUUCAUUAGACCCCAAUACGGUAUUUUGUUGUGAGGUGAAGGGAAGCCAUCAGGUGUGGCUUAUUUUAUUUAAUGCCUUUCAGGGGGAUGCAGCUGUAUUCAGCUUUGCAAGAUGAAAUAUUGAAAGUAGUAAUCCUUACAGAACCUUAAUGGCUGCUCUACCACACAUGAGAGACCCUGAUAACCUGACAAAAGGGAAUUAAGGAGAAAUUUAAAAUAUACUUAUGUCAUUGGAAUUCAACACAAACAACAAUACCAUCAAUUGAAACAGUGUAGCUGGGCCACAGAUAAAACUAAGAAAUCAUUACUUUUAAAAGUUGUAUUUCCCUGCUCUUCUAAGAGUCACAUAUAUCCUGCAGUUAAAAAUGUAUUAAAAGAAAUCUAUCUGGAAAUCUAUAGUCUUGCAGUAAUGCAGGACAUGUUACCAAUCCCAUUUUGGUGGCCUUUUGAGCCAUUAGUUUCUCAGUGAGUGAAAAUGUUCUCUAUCAAGAAAAGCAAAAAAUUUAAUAUUUUUUAUGAUUGAUAGAAGCUACGAUUUUUCAGUGGAGCACUGAGAAGCCAAAGCUUAGCUUUGGUCAGUCUCAAGGCAUUCAGGUGAGUUUAUUCCUUAGCACAUGGAAUCCCCAGUCCUCUGAGGCAGUGAUACUGAGGAGCAGGUAUUAAUCAUAAUCCAUUGUGACAAUUGGGAAUUUCUUCUCCUCACUAACCUCAGCUGUAGCUUUUUACAUGUUGUUUUCCAAUAAUCUUCUUUUUCUGGUUGAAGAUACCAAAUGAGAGAUUUUUUUCUUUGGUUUCCUUGGUAACUAAUUCAAAGAUUAGAUCAUUAUGAAUAGUUCCUGCAACUAUUUCUGCAGCAAGCCUCCUGCUUUCAUGAACCAUUUAUGACAUUUUAAAGUUUUGACUGAAGUCUUCAGACAUCGUUUCUCCCUCCAUACUUCCUACUGCAGGCCAGUGACUGGGCUUUUAUUCUUCCCCAGACAAUCUUCCUAGCAGCAGGUAUCAGUCAUUUAUAUAAGUUAACUUAACCAAAAUCCCCUAGCUGUACUGUAGUUUUAUUGCAUCACAUAAAUCCUUUUUAGGACUUCAUCCUCCAGUAUUUUUAUACCACUAAUAAAUUAUGAAGAUCUACUUGAGACAACUUAGAAAAAAAUCAUUGAAUUUCUGAAGUUGUUUGUAAGUUUUAAGUUUCUCUAAUUAAAUUAGUUCAUUUUUCCUUGCUAUUUAACCUCAAAGAUGUUUGUAAGGGUCAAAACUAGUCAUCAUCUUUCUAGGCCUGCUGACAUAAAUAUGUAAUUUCUCUACUUACCCUGCCAGUCCUUCUUUAAACACAUAAUUGCUCAGGUGUGACAUAUCCAAUAUUAAAUGGCAGAAAGUAGAUAAUGCACAUACUACAUGUUCUUGUCAGCUGUGAACUGUAAAUUGCAGAGAUUCCUGAUCACACUUCACUGCAUAAAAAUAACCUCUCCAUUUAUUAUUCCAUCCUCAGCAUGGACUACUCAGCAUAUUCAGUGCACUGAGCACAUUUUGGAGUUAAUAAAAGAUUAACUGUGACAAACUGAACUUUUCAACCAAGCAUCCAAAGGGAAAAUCCCAAUUAAGCAGUGCUGCAAGUUCCAUGCAGUCAAAGCAGGCGUUCAAGUAACAUCUUCCCAAACCACAUGGCCAGGAGUAAUUUGUAAGCUUUGCAAUCAGGUUUACAAACUGGCUAUAGAUUCUCCUGUGCUCCCAUUUCUGUCUCUGUGGUUCCAGAGAGGGUCUCUUACCAAAGCCAGAGUCAAUGAACAAAUGUCUGCAAAGCCAUUACCCUGCCUCAGCCAAAAGCACAAACGUGUUUUACCUGUUAAUAUCCUCUGACCAUCAAGAGGAAACCUACUCUGAAAGAUUAGCCUGACAUCUCAAGAGUGUUGGGGGCUUGAGCUGCACAUUUGUCUUCAGUAUUUCACUAGAACAGUUUAAAAAACACCAGAUGGAAAAGCUUUGCCGCGUUCUGGCUCUCCACAUGUUGGAGAAUUUCCCAAAUAACUUCUAAGAAAUUAAAGGGGAUAGAUCACAGUAAUAAUUGCAGUAAAUAGAAUCUAGAGAAGUCUAGAUCAGUGAACUUUAUAACAUCUUGUAAGUGUUCAAGUGAUACCAAGUUUAUUAAAAAACCUUCUUGAAGCAUAUGCAACUGUGCAACUUCUUUGAUGGAACAGACAGCAGGUGAUAAACUAUUACCUAAACCAUUAGCCUAAAUCAUAACAGUGUCUCUCUUUAAACCUUAGACAUAAGGUUUAUUAUUUUCCAUAAAACACUUACUAAACAAUCUGUAUGAGAAAAAAAAAAGGAAAAAAGGAGCACUAACAAAACCAGAAACAAAAAGGAAGGCAUGAUUGGGCUGUGAUCUAGCAACAGGAUGAAGGAAAAAAGACCGUGAAAAAUAAGAAACUAUUCCUUUUGUAGGGGGAUAAAAGGGACAAAAUUAGCAGCAAUGACUCUACAGUACUUUGAAUAUUUAAAAUGCUAUAUACUUCAUGCAUUUAUGAGGUUGAUUACAAAAAUCACAAGAACAAGUAAUAGGAAUGUGGUGGGCAGACUAAUCUUGGGACUUGGGAGUCAAAUUGCAAAUGCCUACAGAUGUCUGAGCCUUGAUUUCCACUGUCUCCUGUGAAUUGAUUCAGCCCAGUACCAGCAGGACUACUUGAACAAAGAAAUACUCUCCUAUUUAAUAGGAGAUUGCAUAUUAUGUGCUGUAGUUACUGCUGCUCUUACUUCUAUAAUCAUGGAGGCAUAUUCACAAAUAUAAAAUUCACAAUUUGUGGUGAUAAUCUAUUUUGAGCUAAUAGGCUAAACUCAAACAUAGCUGUGUCCAGGUUUCCACAAUAACCUUCUAAACUUCACAAUUAGUAGAACUUACUGUUCCUUACCUACAGAUGCCCACAACUCACUUAGCCCACAUGAGUGAUACAGAUGUCAGACAUUCCUCUAUUUGAAGACUGCACUACUUGCCAUAGAGCCACAUAAAUUAUAAAUUGUAGUUGAUCUCUCAGUGGUCUUAAAUUCUACUUGUAUCAGGGGACUCCCUUUCAGAAUAAAGAACAGUGCUUCUUGCUGCUGUCAGUUCUGAUAUUACAGCUAAGAGUCUUGGCCGUGUUAUUUUUUGAAUUGUGACAGGCCUGAGUACUAAAAGGAAAUACAAUGUGAGGUUACUUAUUUUGUAUUGAGACAGCAUUCAGAAAGCAAGAAAAAGCAGAGGCAUUUUCUGCUGGGCAUUGCACAAGGACAGCAUAGGUAGACAGACUGUCCUGAGGAGAUUGCAGUCUCAGCAAGAUUUACAAAGACUAGGGAGUCAGUGACAUUCAGUACUGUGAUUCUCUUUCUGGGUUUACUGAUAAAUGACUACAUACCUGACCUAAAUUAUUUUAUUUGAUGAAGAGAUAUUUCAAAUCACCAACACAAGGGAAUGAAUUUUGAUAAUCCAACAAACCCUAAACUUCAAGCCUCAGACAACAUCAAAAAUGCUGUUUCUUAUACAGAACAAUUACUGUGUCUGCUGGCUUACAUUCAGUGAUGAAUACCUGGGAGCUGUGCUUAAAACAACUUGUUUAACACCUAGAGGGGGCCCAACACAAAAAAUUAAUAGGCCAUUCCAGGCAUCCCUGUCCUAAAGAGACAAAAGUCAGGCCAAAAGGAACACUGCAAGUCUUAGCAAUGCACAUAUAUCUGUAAAAAGAAACUUUCUAUCCCUUUCCUGUUACCCCUAGUAUUACAAACAGCACUGCUAGUCCAAGAGAGGCCAUGGUUUUUUUGAAGUGCAAAUAGAGAAAGGUCAGGUGUUUUUCGUACAUAGAAUUUCAUCAAUCUCCUGUGCAGAGGAAAAUGGCUAAUACUGCAGCUGCAGCCAGAUUCCAAUGCUGUUAAACUCAUUGAAGCUCACAAUUACCCCAAGGAAAUUUUUGUUUGUCCAGUUUCAUAAAUCUCUGUUUUCUUUAUGAACAACAACGUGAGCAGCUGGGCCUGAGCAUGCGACUUUAUGGUCAGCAGGGACUUUGCCAAUGACCUUUGUGAUCCCAGGAGGAAUAAAACCAAUGCAUACAUGAAUUCCCCUGCUUUUCACUCUUCACCUCUUGUAUCCCCUUAAAUGCUGUACAAAUCAGAAACAUUGAUUUCCCUCAAUGCCUAGGUCAACAUCUGUUAUGAUUUAAUUAAAAGCUUGCUCUCUGAGGGGGUUUCUCUCUGUGAUGAUACCCUUCCACUCUGUUAUUUCUAAAACUGAAUGAAGCAGUAAGCUUCAGGCUUUUAAAAAUAAAAUUUUCUAUUAAUUUCAUCAUUAUUAAAUCAGAUUUAAUUUUCUACAUAUGUUGAUUUAUCUCAGAUGGUCCAAAUCCUUGCUGAGGAGUGAGGUUUCCUCCUCUGACUUACCUGCUUCUGAAACCCACACACAGCUUAGUCACAUUUAAGGGUAAUUAAAAAUAUUCCAGUCUCAUUCUGCAGCGCUGAGCAGUUUGUGAAACAUGAAAACUUUCCAAUUUGCACUAUUUUCUCUCUGAACUCAAUUGCUCUCUUUAGUUUAAAAUAUGUUUUACCCUUUUACUGAUACCAAAUCAUCAUAUCAAAGCAUCAAAUUCAAAAGCCGGGCGAGGCUGUGAAUAAGCUGCUCUGCUUUGCUUUUCAUGUGCCCACAGCCAAAUUCUUUAGAAGGUCCCACUUCCACAGUCAGGCUUAGCCUCUGCCCUCAUUUGUGCCAUCAAACUCAGCUGAGCCAAAUUCAACACAAAAUCUUUAUUUUAUCCCUUUUGAAAAAGCAAGUGUGAGAAAAUUAGAGCACUGCUUAAGUUAUAAGAUUAGGAUUUCUCAUCAAGACAAGUUGCAUCAUAAAGUUUUAUAGUCAAAGCACAAAUCAAACUACCAAAAUAUCUCAUACUCCUUCUAGUUGUCACCUGAAGAAAAUGGCUACCAUGAUUUUCACAUUUUAAAAGAAAACAAAAAAUAUUUUAAACUGGAAUAUAAUGGAAAACCCACAACAUCUCUCUACCCCAUAGCCGAAUGUUUUAAUUAAGGUUGUAGAACAAAUUCUAAAAGGACAGCUUUGUAAAAAGAAGAAUUGUUUUUUUCUCAAAGAACUUCUAUGAAAUGGUGUUGAACCAGAUAGCAAUUUAUAGGGUUUGUUGGUUCUUUUACUACAAGUGUUACUUUUUCUCUGUCACUAAAUAAAAUCAAUUGAUGGAAGUAUA